rnacentral:rRNA from 1 species
GAUGAACGCUGGCGGCGUGCCUAACACAUGCAAGUCGAACGGUGAAGCAGAGCUUGCUCUGUGGAUCAGUGGCGAACGGGUGAGUAACACGUGAGCAACCUGCCCCUGACUCUGGGAUAAGCGCUGGAAACGGCGUCUAAUACUGGAUAUGAGCUGCGACCGCAUGGUCAGCAGUUGGAAAGAUUUUUCGGUCUGGGAUGGGCUCACGGCCUAUCAGCUUGUUGGUGAGGUAAUGGCUCACCAAGGCGUCGACGGGUAGCCGGCCUGAGAGGGUGACCGGCCACACUGGGACUGAGACACGGCCCAGACUCCUACGGGAGGCAGCAGUGGGGAAUAUUGCACAAUGGGCGAAAGCCUGAUGCAGCAACGCCGCGUGAGGGAUGACGGCCUUCGGGUUGUAAACCUCUUUUAGCAGGGAAGAAGCGAAAGUGACGGUACCUGCAGAAAAAGCGCCGGCUAACUACGUG